GCUCCUGUAGUCUAGCUGGAUAGGACACAACCCUGCGGAGGUUGUAGCCCGAGUUCGAAUCUCGGCAGGAGCA
rnacentral:tRNA from 1 species